CUACCCGGUUCCAUCUUCAACCCAGCAACCCCGGCCUCCAAUCUGGACCUGGCUGCCAAGAUCAGGGAAGACCCGCUCUUUGAAAUCAGGAAACGUGAAGAAGAAAAGAAGAGGGAAGUCUUGAGUAACCCUGUGAAGAUGAAGAAGAUCAAGGAAAUGCUGCGGCAGAAUCUUGACAAGAAAGAAAAGAAAAAGAAGAGGAAGAAGGACAAAAAGGAGAAGAAAGACAAAGAGAGGAGAAAGGAGAAGAAACACAAGAGACGGAGUUCAAGCUCAAGCUCUAAUGAGGAAGAAGAAUCAUAGCGAUAAUUAGAUUAAAUUUA